GAUGAACGCUGGCGGCGUGCUUAACACAUGCAAGUCGAACGAAGCAUUUAGAACAGAUUAUUUCGGUAUGAAGUUCUUUAUGACUGAGUGGCGGACAGGUGAGUAACGCGUGGGUAACCUGCCUUGUACUGGGGGAUAGCAGCUGGAAACGGCUGGUAAUACCGCAUAAGCGCACAAUGUUGCAUGACAUGGUGUGAAAAACUCCGGUGGUAUAAGAUGGACCCGCGUCUGAUUAGCUAGUUGGUGAGAUAACAGCCCACCAAGGCGACGAUCAGUAGCCGACCUGAGAGGGUGACCGGCCACAUUGGGACUGAGACACGGCCCAGACUCCUACGGGAGGCAGCAGUGGGGAAUAUUGCACAAUGGAGGAAACUCUGAUGCAGCGACGCCGCGUGAGUGAGGAAGUAAUUCGUUAUGUAAAGCUCUAUCAGCAGGGAAGAUAGUGACGGUACCUGACUAAGAAGCUCCGGCUAAAUACGUGCCAGCCGCCGCAGUAA
rnacentral:rRNA from 1 species